rnacentral:rRNA from 1 species
UACGUAGGGGGCAAGCGUUGUCCGGAUUUAUUGGGCGUAAAGAGCGUGUAGGCGGCCAGGUAGGUCCGUUGUGAAAACUCGAGGCUCAACCUCGAGACGUCGGCGGAAACCCUCUGGCUAGAGUCCGGAAGAGGAGAGUGGAAUUCCUGGUGUAGCGGUGAAAUGCGUAGAGAUCCGGAGGAACACCGACGGCGCAGGCAGCGUCCUGGCCGCUUGCUGACACUGAGGCACGAAAGCUGGGGGAGCAAACAGG